rnacentral:lncRNA from 1 species
GCCAAAGUCAAAUGCAGCAUUAAAUCGAAUACCCCAGGGGAAAAAUUUCCAUGGCCAGUAAAAUAAAGCUUAAUAUAAAACAUCAGAAUCUAUCAACAUUACAUUAGUACUAAUUUACAGGUACGCCUGUCAGUGUACACAAACCACAGAAGCCUUUUGGAGUACAUAAUUGUUUGUAUGGCCUUACAGAUUUGGUGAAUUGAAAUGAAAACAAUCUCCAUUCCCCACCCAUCUUUUCUCCCUCAAUUCAAGAUGAAAUCUGUUCUUUUCAAGAUUGUGUUUAAAGAGUCCGUAUUUCUUAAACUCCAAGUCAUAAAACCGCAUCUUUCGCUAAUUUUGGCUGAUCUCUGUCCGCUCUUUGGCACUCUUGUACCCAAAAUUCCAGUUGGCUUUGGAAUUCAUCAACGUUGUCCAGGGCUGGGCACAGAGCUGGUUUUUCCUUAUCACUCUGGCCUUCUAUAGAUGUCAUUUCCAUUGAGUUUCUACAGAUGGGUUGCAGGAAGGAAGAUGUUUCUCGGCCUCUGUUUAACAGUAGAGAUGGAGAAGAAAGGACAGCGACAAGACGAGAACACUGAUGGAAGACUGCAGGGCGCUGACACUGCUGGCAUUGCCAGCGGAAGUGGUGCCAGGCAAAAGCUUUAAUUGGAAGUGAGGGAAGAUAAAGAACUCCAUCUUAAGCAGCUGGAAAGGGACACACUCUGAUGAAGAGGAUCAGAUUGGUUCGUGCAUAGGAGAAGGGUCCAGUUAAUAAGUGUUCUCUGACUAGUCACAGUGAUUAAUGGAAUUCCCUGUCUUCAGAGACAGAGCCUGAACAAACCAGAAGUUGCUCUUCCCAGUCUCCUUUGCAGCUUGGCAAAGACAAGAUUCCUGUAAUCAGAUGAACCCUCAGUUAAUACUUUGGAAAGAAAGUUCUUAACAACUUUUCAGCUUCCAUUGACAAG